UUGACAAUCUCUGAACUUAGCAGCACCAAGACCUCUUUUUCCGUAGGAGUAUUGACACAACUAAGACAAGUAAGGUUAAUAUUAUUCCACAAAAACCCACCACACAAAUUGAAAACUAUCAUACUCACUCACUCUCACUCACUUGGCUAAGCCUCCUAAUUCAUUAUCAAUUGCAAUAUUAGCAGCAUCAAGAUCUCCUUUUCCGAUUUCCGCCAUUUCAACCAGAGACUUGUCUAGAAACCUCUCCAUCUCUUCUGGCCACGGUUUGUUAUUGCUUGCAGGACAAGGAGAGUUAAACGGAGUGUUCAACCACGCAUCUACGAUCUCGACCGCUGUUUCGGCUGAAGUGUACUUACCAGAUACGGCGAGGACAUUUGAAUUAUUGAUGGAUCGGGCGUUGACAGCGUCAGCAGGAGUAAGACAAGUGACGGCAAACACGCCAGGAAAUUUAUUGGCGAAGAUGGAGACGCCAGCGCCGGUGCCACAUGCCACGAGACCGCGAACUUCUGGUGAGGAAGACGGUGUUGAUUGAGAGACUCGACGACCAACUUCAGCGGCAGCGGAGUAGUAAGAAGAAGUUCCAAGAUCUUCAACUUGGAUGUUGAUGGAGCGGAGGUAGGAGACUAAAGUGUCUUUAAGAGAAAUGCUGUAAUGAUCGGUGCCGGAACCGGUGAUGAUUUUUAUAUGUUUGUUGGGUUCCGCCAUGAAUAAUUGAGGGAAUAUAGAUACAGACUUGAUUGGGAUAUUAUAGGGUGAGAGUGGUAAAGGUGAAGCAGAGUGAGCAGAGUGAGUGGGUGGAGUGGAGUGUGAACGUGUGGCACUUAAAGAGAAAAAUGAUAAACAAACAAUCAUAUACAGUAUUGGAUAAUGAUUGAUUCUGGUUAUUGGAGUGUUAAUAUCGUUCUUUUUAUGCUUUGUCUAACAUGCACAACAAAAUUAGUACUAUUGUAUUUGCAGUUGCACAAUUCACAUGUUUUUUUUUUUUUUAAAUGACCUACAAUGUUGGCGACCAAUUUAGAAAGUAUGAAUUGAAAGGUUAGUGGAC
rnacentral:lncRNA from 1 species